CCAGCAGCUGCGGUAAUUCCAGCUCCAAUAGCGUAUAUUAAAGUUGUUGCAGUUAAAAAGCUCGUAGUUGGAUAUCUGGCGACUCCUAUGGUCCAAUUUUGGUACCUUUGGCGUUGCCAUCCUCGGGUGGACCCUGUGUGGCAUUAAGUUGUCGUGCAGGUUAAACCUGUCAUUUACUGUGAAAAAAUUAGAGUGUUCAAAGCAGGCUUACGCCGUUGAAUAUAUUAGCAUGGAAUAAUAUGAUAGGCCUUGGGGACUAUUUUGUUGGUUUGCGUCUCAAAGGAAUGAUUAAUAGGGCCAGUUGGGGGUCUUCGUAUUCCAUUGUCAGAGGUGAAAUUCUUGGAUUUCUGGAAGACGAACUACUGCGAAAGCAUUGAUCACGGAUGUUUUCAUUAAUCAA
rnacentral:rRNA from 1 species